rnacentral:sRNA from 1 species
CAUUAUCGUACAAAAUGUGAGAGGGGCAUGCGAGGGCUGUCGCUGACUCAAAGUCGUGCACGCCCGAGUGUGUCGCCUCACAUAAUAAUCCAUCUCACCCUUUGUGCAUCACCGCGUGGGCACCCCUUUGGGAUCAUCUCGGAGGGGGCUCGCGUUUUCACACAAAACCCCCCUUUUAAAAGUGUAGAAUGACCUCAUUUAUGCGCGUAACCCGCAAUCAAUACAACUUUCAACAACGGAUCUCUUGGCUCUCGCAUCGAUGAAGAACGCAGCGAAAUGCGAUACGUAAUGUGAAUUGCAGAAUUCAGUGAAUCAUCUAAUCUUUGAACGCACCUUGCGCCCCCUGGUAUUCCGAGGGGCACACCCGUUUGAGUGUCGUGAAAACCUCAACCUCCUUGGUUUCGUCUGGAGACCAAAGCAGGCUUGGACUUUGGAGGCCUUUGCUGGCACCUCUCGCCAGCUCCUCUUGAUGAAUUAGCAGGGUCCUCUUUGCUGAUCCUCGACGUGUGAUAAGAUGUAUCCAUGUCUUGGUUUCUGGCUCUGUCACCUUUGGGACCCGCUUCUAACCGUCUUCGACCUUGCGUUGAGACAACGUUCGAGCAUGUCUCCCUUCUCGGAAGCUCACUCGACCCACGAACCCUGACCUCAAUCGGUGAGCUGACCGCUGAAUUAAGCUAUCAUAGCGGAGGAAAGAACUAGCAGGAUCCCCUAGUACUGCAAUGAAGCGGAAAAGCUCAAUUUAAAUCUGGCGUCUUGCCGUCCGAUUGAAUUAAAAACGUCUCC